rnacentral:rRNA from 1 species
GACGAACGCUGGCGGCGUGCUUAACACAUGCAAGUCGAACGCUGAAGACCUGGCUUUUGUUGGGUUGGAUGAGUGGCGAACGGGUGAGUAACACGUGAGUAACCUGCCCUCUUCUUUGGGAUAACGCCCGGAAACGGGUGCUAAUACUGGAUAUUCACUGAUCUUCGCAUGGGGGUUGGUGGAAAGGUUUGUUCUGGUGGGGGAUGGGCUCGCGGCCUAUAAGCUUGUUGGUGGGGUUAUGGCCUACCAAGGCUUUGACGGGUUGCCGGCCUGGGAGGGUGACCGGUCACAUUGGGACGGAGAUACGGCCCAGACUCCUACGGGAGGCAGCAGUGGGGAAUAUUGCACAAUGGGCGAAAGCCUGAUGCAGCGGCGCCGCGUGAGGGAUGGAGGCCUUCGGGUUGUAAACCUCUUUCGCUCAUGGUCAAGCCGCAACUGUGGGUUGUGGUGAGGGUAGUGGGUAAAGAAGCGCCGGCUAACUACGUG